ensembl:lncRNA
GCAGCAAUUAAUCACAAACCAGCCCUUAAUGUGGAAUAGAGGACACAAAGCUUCCAGGUUCACAUGUCCCUUGAGUUGCUGAUUAAUGCGGUGCCUCAAACUGAGACUCCAGCGUCCUGUGAAGGAUGGUGGCGUUGCUGCAGGACCCUCAUGCAGGCCGAACCUCACCACAGCUGCUGCACCAAUACGCCACUGAAGAUACUGAUCUGAAUAGGGAGGAUGCAAAGGUGGAAGCAGUCAGUGCUGGAUUCAGUUUCACUGCAUCUUAAUGGAGCACACACACACACACACACACACACACACACACACACACACACACACACACACACACACACACACACACACACACACACACACACACACACACACACACGGUUUUUUAAUAGUAUCUACUUCCCCCUUUUUUUGUGUGAGAGGACACAGAUACACCCUGAAUGGGCCCCUGUGGUGCUCUACAUUGUGGUUGGGAAGUACCUAAUGUUACAACUGUCAUGCUGAUCUGCUUAAAGGGACAGUGUUGAUCACUUUUCUCAGUAUUUUCUCAGGGGUCAUGUAGUGUCGCCCUAAAUAAGAGGUUGUCAGAGGAGGUGUCUGUAUUACACAACUAUAUAAAGAGCUAAAGUAGACAUAUCAUGCUCAUUUUCAGCUCUAUGUUUUUAUUCUUCUCUAGACUAGCCUCGCAUGAUUCACAGAUUUAAUAAAACCUUAUUUAUGUCGUAUUGCUGCAAUAAUUUUGGACAAUACAAUGUUGUAACCGCCGGAUUUAAACUGUAAAUGUUAACAUCUCAAUAAGAGAAGCUAAUCUAAGAUCUGUAACUUGCAUCUUAACAAGAUAACAUCAGUUGAGUUUCUGUCUGAAAAACACAAUAUUACCUCCUGUCUCUUUAAGAGCUCCCCAGCCCCUCCCUGAAAGCCCCCUUUCUUCUGAUUGGCUCACAUCUGGAAGCCUGCACCCCAGUUCUUGUGAGCACCACCAGUAACAUAUUUCGUUGUUUUCGAUCAGAAAUACCAACUUAUCAAAGUUCAAGCCUGAAUCCAAACUGGACUAUUAGCCUAAACUAAGUGAGCAAGUAAUAUUGCAGCAGGACAUCUUUGUUUGCUAAAUAUUACACGUUACCUGCUGAUUGUGUCCUAACGGUUGGAUUUAGUCUUUCAAUCAAAAGCUGCAUGUAAAAAUUGUUUAAAAUGUGCUAAAAUACCAGCUGAGCAAACUGCUGCUGAUGACUGCAGAAAGAAAUCCACUUAAGUGGAAAAACUGUUGGAAACCUUGUAUUUAGAGCAGAUGUUAUCUAAAAUUGUGGCCACAUUUAAUAUAAGCAUCCAACAUUGUAACAUAUUAAUGACAAAAAAUAAGGGAAAGCACAAUAUGUUUGUGCCCAAGCAAAAUGAAGUAGAGAAAUAAAGUCAAACUCUCACCACUUGAUGAAUCCAUAGUUGCUGGGAGUAGUGAGACUUUUGGGCCUCAAUUCAUUGUGAAGUUGUGAUGUCAAUGAAAUCCAACCACACUGAGGUGAAAGGGGAGAGGAAUUUGCUUUGCAAUCAUUUCUAAAAACCACAUAAAUUUUUACUUGCAUAAUCCCCUGUGAGUUUUGUAAGUCUCUUCUGGCAAUUGACACUGUUGAAUGUUUGGAAAAAGCUGCACACUUGUCUGAAUAAAUUUCUCAGUCUGGCAGCAUGUUUACUGAGCGUGUUUUUUUCUUAGUGUCCAACAAGUAAGUGAAGUGUGUUCAUUACAGUCCUGGGUGUUCUGCAUCACUUCCUCCUGUUUACAGCUGCAGGGAGUGAAAGUGUUUAAUCUGUACAUGAGCUUCAUGCCCUUUUCACCAGGGUCAUUUACACACAGCAGACACUGUAUCCACACUCGUUACGAAACCCUGACCACAACACAGAGGCAUUGCUUUAUGAAUCAGGUGUUGUCCUGCAGC